rnacentral:rRNA from 1 species
UGGGGAAUAUUGCACAAUGGGCGCAAGCCUGAUGCAGCCAUGCCGCGUGUGUGAAGAAGGCCUUCGGGUUGUAAAGCACUUUCAGCGGGGAGGAAGGCGUUAAGGUUAAUAACCUUGGCGAUUGACGUGACCCGCAGAAGAAGCACCGGCUAACUCCGUGCCAGCAGCCGCGGUAAUACGGAGGGUGCAAGCGUUAAUCGGAAUUACUGGGCGUAAAGCGCACGCAGGCGGUCUGUCAAGUCGGAUGUGAAAUCCCCGGGCUCAACCUGGGAACUGCAUACGAAACUGGCAGGCUAGAGUCUUGUAGAGGGGGGUAGAAUUCCAGGUGUAGCGGUGAAAUGCGUAGAGAUCUGGAGGAAUACCGGUGGCGAAGGCGGCCCCCUGGACAAAGACUGACGCUCAGGUGCGAAAGCGUGGGGAGCAAACAGG